rnacentral:rRNA from 1 species
UACGAAGGGGGCUAGCGUUGCUCGGAAUCACUGGGCGUAAAGGGUGCGUAGGCGGGUCUUUUAAGUCAGGGGGUGAAAUCCUGGAGCUCAACUCCAGAACUGCCUUUGAUACUGAAGAUCUUGAGUUCGGGAGAGGUGAGUGGAACUGCGAGUGUAGAGGUGAAAAUUCGUAGAUAUUCGCAAGAACACCAGUGGCGAAGGCGGCUCACUGGGUCUUUCCUAACGCUGAGGCACGAAAGCUAGGG